AGAGGAGGAGCCCGGAGAUGGGCAUUGAGACAAGGGCCCAGGCCCUAUGGGGCGCAGCAGGCGCGAAACCUCUGCAAUAGGCGAAAGCUUGACAGGGUUACUCUGAGUGAUUUCCGUUAAGGAGAUCUUUUGACACCUCUAAAAAUGGUGUAAAUAAGGGGCGGGCAAGUCUGGUGUCAGCCGCCGCGGUAAUACCAGCACCCCGAGUGGUCGGGACGAUUAUUGGGCCUAAAGCAUCCGUAGCCGGUCCUACAAGUCUUCCGUUAAAUCCACCUGCUCAACAGAUGGGCUGCGGAAGAUACUAUAGGCUAGGAGGCGGGAGAGGCAAGCGGUACUCAGUGGGUAGGGGUAAAAUCCUCUGAUCCAUUGAAACCCACCAGUGGCGAAGGCGCUUGCCAGAACGCGCUCGACGGUGAGGGAUGAAAGCUGGGGGAGCAACCGGAUUAGAUACCCGGGGUACUCCCAGCUGUAACCAUGCCACUCGGUGAUGGUUGGCCUUUCCAACCGGCCGAAGGAACCCGU
rnacentral:rRNA from 1 species